AUUGAACGCUGGCGGCAUGCCUUACACAUGCAAGUCGAACGGUAACGGGCCUUCGGGUGCCGACGAGUGGCGAACGGGUGAGUAAUGCAUCGGAACGUACCUUUCAGUGGGGGAUAACGUAGCGAAAGUUACGCUAAUACCGCAUAUUCUGUGAGCAGGAAAGCAGGGGAUCGCAAGACCUUGCGCUGAUUGAGCGGCCGAUGUCAGAUUAGCUAGUUGGUGAGGUAAAGGCUCACCAAGGCGACGAUCUGUAGCGGGUCUGGGAGGAUGAUCCGCCACACUGGAACUGAGACACGGUCCAGACUCCUACGGGAGGCAGCAGUGGGGAAUUUUGGACAAUGGGGGGCAACCCUGAUCCAGCCAUGCCGCGUGAGUGAAGAAGG
rnacentral:rRNA from 1 species